GCGGACGUAGUGCACGGUGCACCGCUGCAUUUCAUUAGUGGUCUAGCACAGAUUUGAGCAAUUGCCAGGGGUUCGACUCCCCGCGUCCGCA